GAUGAACGCUGGCGGCGUGCCUAAUACAUGCCAGUCGAGCGAACAGACGAGGAGCUUGCUCCUCGGACGUUAGCGGCGGGCGGGUGAGUAACGCGUGUAUAACCUCCUUGUUUGACUGGGAUCAAUUGGGGAAACCGGAGCUAAUACCGUAUAAUCUAUUGAACCGUAUGGUUGAAUAGUGAAAGACGGUUUUGCUGUCACUUAUAGAUGGAUCCGCGCCGCUUUAGUUAGUUGGUAAGGUAACAGCCUAUCAAGGCGACGAUGCGUAGCCGAACUGAGAGGGUGAUCGGCCACACUGGAACUGAGACACGGUCCAGACUCCUACGGGAGGCAGCAGUGGGGAAUCUUCGGCAAUGGGCGAAAGCCUGACGGAGCAACGCCGCGUGAGUGAUGAAGGUCUUCGGAUCGUAAAACUCUGUUAUUAGGGAAGAACAAAUGUGUAAGUAAAUAUGCACGUCUUGACGGUACCUAAUCAGAAAGCCACGGCUAACUACGUG
rnacentral:rRNA from 1 species